ACGGGUGAGUAAUGUAUCGGAACGUACCUUUCAGUGGGGGAUAACGUAGCGAAAGUUACGCUAAUACCGCAUAUUCUGUGAGCAGGAAAGCAGGGGACCGCAAGACCUUGCGCUGAUUGAGCGGCCGAUAUCAGAUUAGCUAGUUGGUGAGGUAAAGGCUCACCAAGGCGACGAUCUGUAGCGGGUCUGAGAGGAUGAUCCGCCACACUGGAACUGAGACACGGUCCAGACUCCUACGGUAGGCAGCAGUGGGGAAUUUUGGACAAUGGGGGCAACCCUGAUCCAGCCAUGCCGCGUGAGUGAAGAAGGCCUUCGGGUUGUAAAGCUCUUUCGGCCGGGAAGAAAUCGCAUGGGUUAAUUCCCUGUGCGGAUGACGGUACCGGCAUAAGAAGCACCGGCUAACUACGUGCCAGCAGCCGCGGUAAUACGUAGGGUGCGAGCGUUAAUCGGAAUUACUGGGCGUAAAGCGUGCGCAGGCGGUUUGUUAAGACAGGCGUGAAAUCCCCGGGCUCAACCUGGGAACUGCGCUUGUGACUGGCAGGCUAGAGUACGGCAGAGGGGGGUGGAAUUCCACGUGUAGCAGUGAAAU
rnacentral:rRNA from 1 species